rnacentral:rRNA from 1 species
UACGGAGGGUGCGAGCGUUAAUCGGAAUUACUGGGCGUAAAGCGCAUGCAGGUGGUUCGUUAAGUCAGAUGUGAAAGCCCGGGGCUCAACCUCGGAAUUGCAUUUGAAACUGGCGGACUAGAGUACUGUAGAGGGGGGUAGAAUUUCAGGUGUAGCGGUGAAAUGCGUAGAGAUCUGAAGGAAUACCGGUGGCGAAGGCGGCCCCCUGGACAGAUACUGACACUCAGAUGCGAAAGCGUGGGGAGCAAACAGG